UACGAAGGGUGCAAGCGUUAAUCGGAAUUACUGGGCGUAAAGGGUGCGUAGGCGGUUCGUUAAGUCUGUCGUGAAAUCCCCGGGCUCAACCUGGGAAUGGCGAUGGUGACUGCAAGGCUAGAGUUUGGCAGAGGGGGGUAGAAUUCCACGUGUAGCAGUGAAAUGCGUAGAUAUGUGGAGGAACACCGAUGGCGAAGGCAGCCCCCUGGGUCAAAACUGACGCUCAUGCACGAAAGCGUGGGGAGCAAACAGG
rnacentral:rRNA from 1 species